GGGGGAAUAGUUUAACGGCAAAAUAAAGUUCUCCAAAAACUUUGAUGAGAGUUCGAACCUCUCUUCCCCUG
rnacentral:tRNA from 1 species